rnacentral:lncRNA from 11 species
UGCUUUCCAUAGCUUCCGAAAGUGUCACAAAACAUUUCUAACCAAUUGGAUUUAUAUUGCAGACUUCUUGCGACAAGGAUGUGAUUCUGAAUAUCUUAAGCGUUCUCACUGAUCUUCUUUCUGUUGGGACAAAUAGGAGGCUUCUCUACACGAUCAGCAAAGGCGGAAGUGAAGCACUUCUACAAGCCUUGGUGAAUGCUGCCCAGGUGCCCGUUCCUGACUAUGAGAUCCUCUUGCCUCUGCUUCGUCUCUUGGCCAAAGUGGGGCAAAAAGAUAAGAAAUUUGGACUGAAAGCACAAAGACUGGGAGCACUUGACACAACACUCAGCUUGGCAAGGAAGAACAUAAAUCAUCCCCAGAAUCUCACCCACUGUCUUUGGGCCCUGCAAGUGUAUGCUUCUAGUGUUACAGCUGGAACCAUGCUGGGUAUUAACGGGGCGAUGGAGCUGCUUUUCAAAGUGAUCACACCUUACACCAGGAAGCGCACCAGAACAACAAGGUAGGCUUGCAACUCAUACGGUACAUUCUCCAGAUUCUUGGGACAG